rnacentral:rRNA from 1 species
GGGUUGUGAGGUUAAGCGACUAAGCGUACACGGUGGAUGCCCUGGCAGUCAGAGGCGAUGAAGGACGUGCUAAUCUGCGAAAAGCGCCGGCGAGGUGAUAUGAACCCUUGACCCGGCGAUGUCCGAAUGGGGAAACCCAGUGUGAUUCGUCACACUAUCGUUAACUGAAUACAUAGGUUAACGAGGCGAACCGGGGGAACUGAAACAUCUAAGUACCCCGAGGAAAAGAAAUCAACCGAGAUUCCCCCAGUAGCGGCGAGCGAACGGGGAGCAGCCCGGAGUCUGAAUCAGCUUGUGUGUUAGUGGAACGGUCUGGAAAGUCCGACGGUACAGGGUGAUAGUCCCGUACACGAAAGCACACUUGCUGUGAACUCGAAGAGUAGGGCGGGACACGUGGUAUCCUGUCUGAAUAUGGGGGGACCAUCCUCCAAGGCUAAAUACUCCUGACUGACCGAUAGUGAACCAGUACCGUGAGGGAAAGGCGAAAAGAACCCCGGCGAGGGGAGUGAAAAAGAACCUGAAACCGUGUACGUACAAGCAGUGGGAGCACCUUCGUGGUGUGACUGCGUACCUUUUGUAUAAUGGGUCAGCGACUUAUAUUCUGUAGCAAGGUUAACCGUAUAGGGGAGCCGAAGGGAAACCGAGUCUUAACUGGGCGUUAAGUUGCAGGGUAUAGACCCGAAACCCGGUGAUCUAGCCAUGGGCAGGUUGAAGGUUGGGUAACACUAACUGGAGGACCGAACCGACUAAUGUUGAAAAAUUAGCGGAUGACCUGUGGCUGGGGGUGAAAGGCCAAUCAAACCGGGAGAUAGCUGGUUCUCCCCGAAAGCUAUUUAGGUAGCGCCUCGUGAACUCAUCUUCGGGGGUAGAGCACUGUUUCGGCUAGGGGGCCAUCCCGGCUUACCAACCCGAUGCAAACUACGAAUACCGAAGAAUGUUAUCACGGGAGACACACGGCGGGUGCUAACGUCCGUCGUGAAGAGGGAAACAACCCAGACCGCCAGCUAAGGUCCCAAAGUCAUGGUUAAGUGGGAAACGAUGUGGGAAGGCACAGACAGCCAGGAUGUUGGCUUAGAAGCAGCCAUCAUUUAAAGAAAGCGUAAUAGCUCACUGGUCGAGUCGGCCUGCGCGGAAGAUGUAACGGGGCUAAACCAUGCACCGAAGCUGCGGCAGCGACACUAUGUGUUGUUGGGUAGGGGAGCGUUCUGUAAGCCGUUGAAGGUGUGCUGUGAGGCAUGCUGGAGGUAUCAGAAGUGCGAAUGCUGACAUAAGUAACGAUAAAGCGGGUGAAAAGCCCGCUCGCCGGAAGACCAAGGGUUCCUGUCCAACGUUAAUCGGGGCAGGGUGAGUCGACCCCUAAGGCGAGGCCGAAAGGCGUAGUCGAUGGGAAACAGGUUAAUAUUCCUGUACUUGGUGUUACUGCGAAGGGGGGACGGAGAAGGCUAUGUCAGCCGGGCGACGGUUGUCCCGGUUUAAGCAUGUAGGCGGAGGUUCCAGGUAAAUCCGGUACCUUAUUAACGCUGAGGUGUGAUGACGAGGCACUACGGUGCUGAAGUGAUAAAUGCCCUGCUUCCAGGAAAAGCCUCUAAGCAUCAGGUAACACGAAAUCGUACCCCAAACCGACACAGGUGGUCAGGUAGAGAAUACCAAGGCGCUUGAGAGAACUCGGGUGAAGGAACUAGGCAAAAUGGUGCCGUAACUUCGGGAGAAGGCACGCUGAUGUGUAGGUGAAGCCCCUGCGGGCGGAGCUGAAAUCAGUCGAAGAUACCAGCUGGCUGCAACUGUUUAUUAAAAACACAGCACUGUGCAAACACGAAAGUGGACGUAUACGGUGUGACGCCUGCCCGGUGCCGGAAGGUUAAUUGAUGGGGUUAGCUGUAAGGCGAAGCUCUUGAUCGAAGCCCCGGUAAACGGCGGCCGUAACUAUAACGGUCCUAAGGUAGCGAAAUUCCUUGUCGGGUAAGUUCCGACCUGCACGAAUGGCGUAAUGAUGGCCAGGCUGUCUCCACCCGAGACUCAGUGAAAUUGAACUCGCUGUGAAGAUGCAGUGUACCCGCGGCAAGACGGAAAGACCCCGUGAACCUUUACUAUAGCUUGACACUGAACACUGGUCCUUGAUGUGUAGGAUAGGUGGGAGGCUUUGAAGCGUGGACGCCAGUCUGCGUGGAGCCGUCCUUGAAAUACCACCCUUUAAUGGCUGGUGUUCUAACGUAGACCCGUAAUCCGGGUUGCGGACAGUGUCUGGUGGGUAGUUUGACUGGGGCGGUCUCCUCCCAAAGAGUAACGGAGGAGCACGAAGGUUGGCUAAUCCUGGUCGGACAUCAGGAGGUUAGUGCAAUGGCAUAAGCCAGCUUGACUGCGAGCGUGACGGCGCGAGCAGGUGCGAAAGCAGGUCAUAGUGAUCCGGUGGUUCUGAAUGGAAGGGCCAUCGCUCAACGGAUAAAAGGUACUCCGGGGAUAACAGGCUGAUACCGCCCAAGAGUUCAUAUCGACGGCGGUGUUUGGCACCUCGAUGUCGGCUCAUCACAUCCUGGGGCUGAAGUAGGUCCCAAGGGUAUGGCUGUUCGCCAUUUAAAGUGGUACGCGAGCUGGGUUUAGAACGUCGUGAGACAGUUCGGUCCCUAUCUGCCGUGGGCGCUGGAGAAUUGAGGGGGGCUGCUCCUAGUACGAGAGGACCGGAGUGGACGCAUCACUGGUGUUCGGGUUGUCAUGCCAAUGGCACUGCCCGGUAGCUAAAUGCGGAAGAGAUAAGUGCUGAAAGCAUCUAAGCACGAAACUUGCCCCGAGAUGAGUUCUCCCUGAGACUUUAAGUCUCCUGAAGGAACGUUAAAGACGAUGACGUUGAUAGGUCGGGUGUGUAAGCGCAGCGAUGCGUUGAGCUAACCGAUACUAAUGAACCGUGAGGCUUAACCUUACAACGCCGAAG